rnacentral:rRNA from 1 species
UACGGAGGGAGCUAGCGUUAUUCGGAAUUACUGGGCGUAAAGCGCACGUAGGCGGCUUUGUAAGUAAGAGGUGAAAGCCCAGAGCUCAACUCUGGAAUUGCCUUUUAGACUGCAUCGCUUGAAUCAUGGAGAGGUCAGUGGAAUUACCGUCAGUGUAGAGGUGAAAUUCGUAGAUAUUCGGAAGAACACCAGUGGCGAAGGCGGCAUCCUGGACCGGCAUUGACGCUGAGGCGCGAAAGCCAGGGGAGCAAACGGG